rnacentral:rRNA from 1 species
UACGUAGGGGUGCAAGCGUUUAAUCGGAAUUACUGGGCGUAAAGCGUGCGCAGGCGGUUAUGCAAGACAGAUGUGAAAUCCCCGGGCUCAACCUGGGAACUGCAUUUGUGACUGCAUGGCUAGAGUGCGGCAGAGGGGGAUGGAAUUCCGCGUGUAGCAGUGAAAUGCGUAGAUAUGCGGAGGAACACCGAUGGCGAAGGCAAUCCCCUGGGCCUGCACUGACGCUCAUGCACGAAAGCGUGGGGAGCAAACAGG